CGUAUAAUAAUUGCGCUAAAGGGGUACCCAGGGCGUCAAAAAGCAACGCCAAAGGGCCUUGACCGAGUCGGGAGUGAGAAUAUGCUGGUGACAUAGCGACAUAGUCCAUGUACUGUGGUUGGUGUGAUAGAUGAGUCAUUCAAGAGACUGAAGAUUUCUUGUGUCUUGUAUGAAAGAAAAUGAAGAUAACCACAGCCAGGAGCUUGACCACCCUGGUGAACCUCAAGGAGCUUGUAUCUCAAUCAUGCUGAUAGCAACAAACACACACACCACUGCUGUCUUCUGCCCAACAGAUUGACUGCUGUCAAAACAAAGGCCUUCUCAAGGAGCUACUGUUACAAUGAAAGAGUUGAUAAGUGAAAGCAAACAUGCAGUUUUUGAGCUUACAGGGUUUCGGUGUUGGCUGCCAUGUGCUAGUCUGCCUGGGCCUGGCACUUCUUACUUGCAGGUGGGCACAGAGAGUCUGAGUGCUGACCGGAGCUGCAGCGGUACAGAUAUGAUGACAACAGGGGAGAAGUGAUGAAGAUACUCAGUGCUUCUUCCUCAGUCUGAGGUUCUUCCGGCGACUACUGGCACUUUCGUUCCUUCCCCUCUGGCCUCCUCUCUUUACACAAAAGUACUUGGUCACUGUCUUCCUGCACUGCUCACACUUGACCGCGCAGCACCAGUGGAAUUUACAAUUACAGCUCGACACCAUCUCAGCUUUGCGCUCCUCCACAGCCAGCCCGCACUCCCCGCAAAGCCUCUUGCAGCUCCGCUUCUCCCAUUUGGUCAAGUUCUUGCCCUUCUUAAGGCACUCGCGGCCCUCUGUGCCCGGCAAGCCCAGCGUGCGGUUUUCCAGGCAGUAAUCGGGGGAGUCUUCGAGGUGUACCAGCUCCUUGCGAGAGAUGGAGCUAAAGGUCUCGGCGAUGGCCCCCCUGCUGGCAGCGCUGUUCCCGGCUCCUCGGAGGAGAUCCACCUUCAGAGCCCUGUGGUACUUCUCCUUCAAAUAGUUCCCCACCUCCCUGAAAUCUGGCAGCUGCAGCCAGCAGGUCUGAGUGGUGCAGCUUCCUGAUACCCCGUGGCACUUACAUGUUUUCUGCAUGGUCCCCUUCACAGCCUGGAGACACAGGAGGGAGUGUUUCCUGACUUUACCCGAAACAAAGCAGCUGUCGGUUGAAAAGGGACAUUUCUUUUCGCGAGGAGGGGAUGAACUUUCUGCUGAGGUGCCAUGGGGAUCCUAGGGCCCAACAGGGGGGAGCAAAGGCACCGUAAACAAAGACCACUUCAGCUGCACGCCUGUGGUCCCCUCAGACUCCCUUGGGGCCAAACAAAGACCAACAUAAAUGUGGGAUCCUUAUUGCAAGAAUAAAACUAAACACUUAUUUUAAAAAGCAGCAUAAUACAGAAUGCUGUGCAAUGUCUGGCUCCCCAGGAUCUCUAAUUAAGCCUGCACCAGCAAUCCUGAGAUUCUUGAGUUGAGGUAUUGUCAUAAGGGGCAUUCAGCACUAGUAAAUAGGCCCUUCUGGUACACCGAACACACUGUUAUUAUUGGGGACGAGUGGCACCUCACUUAUAGCGACGUGAAAAGGAUGCUUGGGUGGCACACUCAGUGUAAUUCUGAGAAGGGAAAAAUUAUUCAAAAGAUGCUUUACACUGUGCAAUCAGUUGGAGGGCCCACAGAGAUUCCCAAAAUUUAAACCAGGCUGCCACCCAGUUUAAAUACUGUAUGGUUCAAAGUCGAGACCUUAUACUUAAGGCUCAUCUCUCAUUGCCAAAUGGAUGGCAUGACUUAAGAGCACAGACUGUACCUUGCGUCCAGCCUCGUUAUUAUGGAGAUUCAUAGCCGCCCGUGCAUCCUGCCCAGUCUCCAAGGCAUCCACAAACUGUUUGGAGAUGGCCUCGCCAAAGCCAACAUUGUCACUGCAGCCGCCCCAGAGCCAGCCGUGACCACCUAGGAGAAUAAAAAAAAUAAUUAAGUAAAAAUCCA